UGAAGUUCUGAAAAACGAUUUUAAAAAUGAUUGAUUAACAAAAUUUACAUUCAUGUAACCAUGAUGGCAAUGAUUUUGAAACGAAUUUCUGGUGUAAUAUAUUUAUAUACAGCAUCUGAUGUAACUAUGGAUAAAUUUCCGAGGCUAUCAGUACCUGAGAAGUUAAAACCUACAAUUGAGUGGCAAAACAUGCAAGUAGCAGAUUUCUCAGAAACUCGAAUGUACAUAUCUCGUUUGCUGUCAAAAAGGA